UUCUGGACAGCUGAAUCCGACUCCUGGGGACUGAGCAGGGGGGUUUUGAGCCUAGAGAAGGAAGAUCGGAGCUUCCUGGGGCUCCUGUGAAGCAGGCAGGGGGCAGCACUGGGCCCCGGGAAGAGGCGGAGAAGGCGAGGGAGUGCCUGCGGUGAGCCCAGAGCCUUGGGCCCGUUAUCCUCUGAUGCUGCUCCCCCAACUUUCCUGCCGUCAGUCCCUGACCUUGCCUGAGACCUUGGCGGCUCCCGCACCUCUCUCCCGGCUCCUCCUUGCUGAGAACACAACCCGCAAGGCCCUUCCGCCUGGCUGGACUGAGUCCCCUAUGGAGGCAGCCUGGCAGGGAGCAGGUAUCUUCCUGGCAGAAGAGGACAGACCUGGUAAACUGAGAGACUGUUGAUGCCCCAAUGUUCUGCCUAGCCUGCCUGGAAACUCCAGAAGGCCACAACAACUGGAUUCUCUUUUCUGAUUUUUGCUGCAGCUUCUGCUUUGUAAUCAUACGGACAGUUGUGCUUGUCAGAGUUAACGGUGAAGUCCACAAAACAAAUUUCCACAUCGGCAGUCAAACCUGUAAGACCAACUUUCUUUCUGCACAUGAAACAUCUGUUUUUCUUUGGUUUGGGCAAUUCAGGAGCUUUUUCUUUACUCUGAGAAGUACUGGGCUGAAAAACUGAUGGGCUGGGCUGAGUGACAACUGGCUCUCACACCUCUGUUUUCGGGGUAGUUAUUUUGUCCUCUGUUGAAAUGCUCAUUUCUGUCAUUUGCUGAGUUACAGGCAAGGCAGCCGCAGGCACAUUUCUUGAUUUUUCAGAUGUGCUGCCAGCAGCACCUUCACAGUUGUUUAAGCUAGUGUCUGCUCUCUGUACAGAUGCAGAAUCUGAGGUAGGACUGUUGGAACCACUAGCUGUCCCCAUUGGGCUCAUUCUGCCACUAUUCUGCUGCCUCUGAAGAUGUUCUUUGUAGCAAACUGAACACAUUCCAUUUGUCCUAGGAUUUCCAUAAAAGCCACAUCCUGUGCUACACAGCAUGGGCCCCGGGGUCUGGUUAGUCUCCUGAGCCAUAUUUUUCUGCC
rnacentral:lncRNA from 1 species